UGUUGGGUGGAGUGCAAAAUUUUCACUCCGCUCUGCAAUUUAAUGCUGGGCCGCUGUUUCAUUUUAAUUUACAACAAAUAGACGCGACAAUGUGUUGCCGGGAACAGUACACGAAGCUGGAGGGUGGAUCGAUUGCUAUUGGUGUUAUACACAUUUUUGUUUGCAUUUAUUUCUUCGUUUUUGGUUUCGUAAGACAUGAAAUAAUUCUCGAUUAUAGCCAUUAUGAGUGGAAGUUUGCAUAUCGCACAUUCGCAAUGACUGUAUUCCUUUCCGUGGCAGUGUGUGGUUGGGCUUUCAGUGCAACAUUAUUCAUUGGAAUCAAGAAGAGGAAUCCGAAUUGCUUGUUGUCGUACAUGGUGUGGGUGUGCUUUUCACAUUUCUUCCUUAACACCAUAUUACUUAUUACUACAAUUGUGCUGAUAAUGUCUUCAUCCGCCUGUUCACGAUGUCGACGAUAUACACUUGUUAAUUACGAUAACAGCGAUGCUCGUAAACUUUAUGUCUACACCUCUGUGGCCUACUAUCUCUUUGGAAUAAUUUCGUUUAUCAUCAUUUACAAGCAAUUUCGAAUUUUGAAAGAGCGGAAAAACUUGCUAAAAAAUGACAUUGAUGUACGUUAUACGUUGCAGAACUGAAAAAUACUACAUUGAAUGACAAGGGGCGAAAGUAAAAAAAUUCAACCGUGUGCGAGAGUUGAAGCCCGCGCUCAUACCAUUUUUUGGUUACCAACAUCGAAAGUUGAUACGUAUCGCAAACAUCGGAACAAAAUGUUGAAUUAAGAAGGCAUUUAUCCAGAAAA